AUUUGAGCAGGAGAGACGACACGACACGACACGACACGACGUUAUCUUACUGAAACCCUAGGUCUCGGUCUUUCAAUAAAACCUUGAAUUGAAAUCUCUUUCUCCCUCUUCUCUUUCUGAGAUAUGGCGAAGAAACGAAAGCAGCGAUCCUCUGAACCCGCACCCGUUGAAACCCUUGUUCCGCAGCUUCAAGAGGUUCAAUCGCUGCCUGAAACAAUCCAGGAAGAAGACCCUCAAAACGUGGCCAUAGAAGAUGAUUCCGGAGGACAACAACAAGAGCCUCAAGGAGUAGAGAAAGAGGAGCGAGAAGAACUUGAGCAAGGGAGAGAAGACGAAGAAAAAGAACCAGAAGAAGAAGACGAAGAAGGAGGAGAAGGAGAAGAUAAACAACCGGAAGAACAUCACUCUCAUAACCUAGAAGUCUCAUCAAGUGAUGUAGCACAGUCAAACCCAGAAAUAGCUGAAGCCAAUAGUGCUAAUGAAGGUGCUAGUAAUGGAAACGAAGCAACUGAGGAAGAGGAAAAUGAAGACGACGACUCUCUAGAGAAGCUUCUAGAGCCUUUCGGGAAAGACCAACUGGUUGCCCUCCUCAGAAAGUCCGUGGACAAGCAUCCUGAUUUGAUGGAUUCUGUGCGUGAAAUUGCGGAUGCUGACCCCGCUCACCGCAAGAUCUUUGUGCACGGUCUCGGCUGGGAUACCACUGCUGAAACCCUCAAAUCUGAGUUUGGGAAGUACGGGGAGAUAGAGGACUGUAAGGCCGUGACCGACCGUGUUUCAGGGAAAUCUAAAGGCUAUGCCUUUAUAUUAUUCAAGCAGCGAGCUGGGGCACGAAAAGCCCUCAGGCAGCCCCAGAAAAAGAUAGGUAAUAGGAUUACGUCCUGUCAGUUGGCCACUGCAGGGCCUGUACCAGCUCCACCCCCAACUACGUCAGCAGUGUCCGAGUACACUCAGAGGAAGAUUUUCGUAAGCAAUGUAUCAGCUGAGAUAGAUCCUGAGAAGCUUCUGGAGUUCUUUAGGCAGUACGGGGAGAUUGAGGAAGGUCCACUUGGGCUUGAUAAGCAGACCGGAAAACCCAAGGGGUUUGCAUUAUUCGUGUAUAAGUCAGUUGAGAGUGCAAAGAAGGCACUUGAGGAGCCUCACAAGAAGUUUGAGGGUCAUACGCUGCAUUGCCAGAAGGCCAUAGAUGGGCAAAAAUCAAACAAGACGGGUUAUGGUGCAGUUCACCAUCAGCAUCACCAUCAUCAGCCACAUUACCAGCACACAGCCAAGAAAGGUAAGUACUCGUCUGGUGCACACGGCCCUGGUCAUUUGAUGGCACCGUCUGGGCCAUCUGUGAACUUCAGUCCGGGAAUGGCACCCCAAGGUUUGAACCCGGCGCUUGGGCAGGCCUUAACGGCUUUGGGGCUUGGUAAUCUGCUUGGAGGGCUUGGUGGUGCACCAGUGAAUAUGGGGGGGCCGCCUGCUGGAUACGGUAAUCAGGCUGGUGGGGGAUACGCGAUUGAACCAGGUAUGCAGGGUGGAUAUCCGAACCUACAGAUGAACCCUCAUAUGGGACAGAGCGGUGCUGGCAGAGCUCAACAAGGCAGUGCUCCUUACAUGGGACAUUAGCUAAGAAGGCUAGCGAUAUCUAUUUUGCCACAUUGGAUGUCCUGUGCUCAAGGAUGUAUCCUCCAUCUUGUUUAUUCUAGGAGUAGCAGGAAACCAUAACUGUUAAGUUAUUAGAUUGUUCAUUAUCCAUGCAGAUAAACAAAAUAAGAAUUGUUUGAAAUUGUCUGUCGAGGUGGUUCCUUAUGUUAUGCAUGACCUUAUAGAUACAAUUCUUCUGAUAUAUGUCAGUGAACCAAAUAUCUAGGCUAUAAAUUUCCUUUUGGUUACGUAGUUUUUCCUGUCUUCCUAUCUUUUGGGCUUUUAAGAGCAAAAAUUGGUAUCUAAAGAUUAAUUUACCUGAUAUUUCACCUGUUAUCUGCUUUAUAUUUGCACUGGGGGAGAGAAAUACUUGCGUAUGCAGCUUUGCAUGUGAAUGGCGAUAUUCCUCGCACUGGCAUGUCAUGAUUGUACCUUUUGGGCAUUUCAUCUCAAUAUUGCUUCCUUAUGCCAUAAUAUGCUACCCUACAAUGUAGUUUUCUCUAAAUUUCAUUAUGAUAUUUUACUGAUAUUUAUAUAAGAAUUGAACACUGUUGAACAGUUAUUCUGAAAAGCUGCUCAUUGUUAGUAUUUUGAGGAAGUUAGUUUUGGCUUCUCUUCUUAAACCUCAGAUUCUUUUCAUCAAUGGUGCUAUUGAUAUAAGCUGAAUUUGUAUAUUUAUUUAAUUAUCAAUUUUUGGUAGACUGUAUUUUCUGUUCACGUUUUUUUUUUUUCUUUUGGGGUGGGGGAUGUCUGCUUGCACUUAAAUGUAUUAUAAUUUUGUUAUUCCAUGAAGUUAUAUUAUGGUGUUCUUCAUUAUUCCCUCUCUUUCUUUGUUAAAAUGGCUUGCUAUCAACUUAUUCUCAGUUGCGUAAAAUGUAAGAUGCCUUCAAAUAGAUGCAUCAAUCAUUUACUUUUCAGCCAUGGUGAUUCUUCUGAAGUUCCAGCCACUCUUGCAAAUGAAGUCUUAAAUUUGGAACGAAAAGUUACUAUUUUCUCUACAUUAAAGACCAGACUCUCAAACCUGUAUUUUUUCCUCUAUUGCAGUAUUUUUUUCCCCACCACAUGUUUUUUUUUUUUAAAAACAAUGUAGCACAACUGUUCUAAUAUUUUGUUUCAGAAAUUUGUUGAGUAACAAACAGAAUUCUGAGGACAAGAACUGUAUGUCAUAGAAUUUUCUCUGCAUGACAAUGUCUCUGCUUUUUCUCA